rnacentral:rRNA from 1 species
AUUGAACGCUGGCGGCAGGCUUAACACAUGCAAGUCGAGCGGGGGAAGGUAGCUUGCUACCGGACCUAGCGGCGGACGGGUGAGUAAUGCUUAGGAAUCUGCCUAUUAGUGGGGGACAACAUCUCGAAAGGGAUGCUAAUACCGCAUACGUCCUACGGGAGAAAGCAGGGGAUCUUCGGACCUUGCGCUAAUAGAUGAGCCUAAGUCGGAUUAGCUAGUUGGUGGGGUAAAGGCCUACCAAGGCGACGAGCUGUAGCGGGUCGGAGAGGAUGAUCCGCAACACUGGGACUGGGACACGGCACAGACUCCUACGGGAGGCAGCAGUGGGGAAUAUUGGACAAUGGGGGGAACCCUGAUCCAGCCAUGCCGCGUGUGUGAAGAAGGCCUUAUGGUUGUAAAGCACUUUAAGCGAGGAGGAGGCUACUCUAGUUAAUACCUAGGGAUAGUGGACGUUACUCGCAGAAUAAGCACCGGCUAACUCUGUGCCAGCCGCCGCCGUAA